CAGCCGCCGCGGUAAUACGUAGGGUGCGAGCGUUAAUCGGAAUUACUGGGCGUAAAGCGUGCGCAGGCGGUUAUAUAAGACAGAUGUGAAAUCCCCGGGCUCAACCUGGGACCUGCAUUUGUGACUGUAUAGCUAGAGUACGGUAGAGGGGGAUGGAAUUCCGCGUGUAGCAGUGAAAUGCGUAGAUAUGCGGAGGAACACCGAUGGCGAAGGCAAUCCCCUGGACCUGUACUGACGCUCAUGCACGAAAGCGUGGGGAGCAAACAGGAUUAGAUACCCCUGUAGUCCCUGUCUCUUAUCC
rnacentral:rRNA from 1 species